GCGGUUAAGCUCGUAGUUGGAUUUCUGCCGAGGACGACCGGUCCGCCCUCAGGGUGAGCAUCUGGAUCGGCCUGGGCAUCCUCUUGGGGAACGUAGCUGCUCUUGACUGCGUGGUGCGGUAUCCAGGACUUUUACUUUGAGGAAAUUAGAGUGUUUCAAGCAGGCUCACGCCUUGAAUACAUUAGCAUGGAAUAAUAAAAUAGGACCUUGGUUCUAUUUUGUUGGUUUCUAGAGCUGA
rnacentral:rRNA from 1 species